CCUGGCUUAUUCGGCUUGUCGGUUUCGUAUUCGUCACAGAAUCGGGAAAUAACUUUAAUUUUCGUCAUUCAAUUUUUUUUAUCUUGAAAAUCUAUUUCUGCGUUAAAGUCGAACUUUGAUGACAACGGUUAUAAAAUGUAAGUUACGGAACCAAAGGUAGUUUUACUAUGGAAUGCCGUACGUCACAUAUUACGUCAUCAUGCGGCUGAGAAAGCAGACAAGAAAGAGCAGAACGACUGCAUAUUUUCUGUAUUUGCUAGUAAUAAGCAGAUGGUACUCCAUUAUACUGCACUGAUAGCUUCUCAAAGAUUAUAAAAUUAAUAUGAUACAUGCAAACAGGCACAGUUAAAAUGUCAAUCAUCACAAGAUCAAACUUCAGUACCAGAGUAACCCUAAAUCAAUUAUCAUCCUGAUUUGUCAAAAGACUACAUAGAACAGUUUAGAGGUGGAAACUGAUAGAUCAUUUGAAGAAGAUCCUGUUAAAGUAGUCAUAAAUAUGUUUCACAAAACAAUGAACACCUUGUUACAGCAUCCUAUCUUGAACAGCCUAGAACAGAGAACAGUCUGGAGGUGGAAACUGAUGGAUCACUUGAAGAGGAAA